rnacentral:rRNA from 1 species
UUAUCGGAGAGUUUGAUCCUGGCUCAGGACGAACGCUGGCGGCGUGCCUAAUACAUGCAAGUCGAGCGGACAGAUGGGAGCUUGCUCCCUGAUGUUAGCGGCGGACGGGUGAGUAACACGUGGGUAACCUGCCUGUAAGACUGGGAUAACUCCGGGAAACCGGGGCUAAUACCGGAUGGUUGUUUGAACCGCAUGGUUCAAACAUAAAAGGUGGCUUCGGCUACCACUUACAGAUGGACCCGCGGCGCAUUAGCUAGUUGGUGAGGUAACGGCUCACCAAGGCAACGAUGCGUAGCCGACCUGAGAGGGUGAUCUACCACACUGGGACUGAGACACUACCAGACUCCUACGGGAGGCAGCAGUAGGGAAUCUUCCGCAAUGGACGAAAGUCUGACGGAGCAACGCCGCGUGAGUGAUGAAGGUUUUCGGAUCGUAAAGCUCUGUUGUUAGGGAAGAACAAGUACCGUUCGAAUAGGGCGGUACCUUGACGGUACCUAACCAGAAAGCCACGGCUAACUACGUGCCAGCAGCCGCGGUAAUACGUAGGUGGCAAGCGUUGUCCGGAAUUAUUGGGCGUAAAGGGCUCGCAGGCGGUUUCUUAAGUCUGAUGUGAAAGCCCCCGGCUCAACCGGGGAGGGUCAUUGGAAACUGGGGAACUUGAGUGCAGAAGAGGAGAGUGGAAUUCCACGUGUAGCGGUGAAAUGCGUAGAGAUGUGGAGGAACACCAGUGGCGAAGGCGACUCUCUGGUCUGUAACUGACGCUGAGGAGCGAAAGCGUGGGGAGCGAACAGGAUUAGAUACCCUGGUAGUCCACGCCGUAAACGAUGAGUGCUAAGUGUUAGGGGGUUUCCGCCCCUUAGUGCUGCAGCUAACGCAUUAAGCACUCCGCCUGGGGAGUACGGUCGCAAGACUGAAACUCAAAGGAAUUGACGGGGGCCCGCACAAGCGGUGGAGCAUGUGGUUUAAUUCGAAGCAACGCGAAGAACCUUACCAGGUCUUGACAUCCUCUGACAAUCCUAGAGAUAGGACGUCCCCUUCGGGGGCAGAGUGACAGGUGGUGCAUGGUUGUCGUCAGCUCGUGUCGUGAGAUGUUGGGUUAAGUCCCGCAACGAGCGCAACCCUUGAUCUUAGUUGCCAGCAUUCAGUUGGGCACUCUAAGGUGACUGCCGGUGACAAACCGGAGGAAGGUGGGGAUGACGUCAAAUCAUCAUGCCCCUUAUGACCUGGGCUACACACGUGCUACAAUGGACAGAACAAAGGGCAGCGAAACCGCGAGGUUAAGCCAAUCCCACAAAUCUGUUCUCAGUUCGGAUCGCAGUCUGCAACUCGACUGCGUGAAGCUGGAAUCGCUAGUAAUCGCGGAUCAGCAUGCCGCGGUGAAUACGUUCCCGGCCUUGUACACACCGCCCGUCACACCACGAGAGUUUGUAACACCCGAAGUCGGUGAGGUAACCUUUUAGGAGCCAGCCGCCGAAGGUGGGACAGAUGAUUGGGGUGAAGUCGUAACAAGGUAGCCGUAUCGGAAGGUGCGGCUGGAUCACCUCCUUU